rnacentral:rRNA from 1 species
GAGUUUGAUCAUGGCUCAGAACGUACGCUGGCGGCACGCCUAACACAUGCAAGUCGAACGAAGUAGCAAUACUUAGUGGCAGACGGGUGAGUAACAUGUAGGUAUCUGCCCUUUGGCCUGGAAUAACACGAGGAAACUUGUGCUAAUACCGGAUAAGUCUUCACGGAGAAAGCUUUAUGCACCAUUGGAUGAGCCUGCACUUGAUUAGUUUGUUGGUAGGGUAAUGGCCUACCAAGACUGUGAUCAAUAGCUGAUUUGAGAGGAUGAUCAGCCACAUUGGGACUGAGACACGGCCCAAACUCCUACGGGAGGCAGCAGUGGGGAAUCUUGCACAAUGGAGGAAACUCUGAUGCAGCGAUGCCGCGUGAGUGAAGAAGGCCCUUGGGUUGUAAAGCUCUUUCGUCGGGGAAGAAAAUGACUGUACCCGAAUAAGAAGGUCCGGCUAACUUCGUGCCAGCAGCCGCGGUAAUACGAAGGGACCUAGCGUAGUUCGGAAUUACUGGGCUUAAAGAGUUCGUAGGUGGUUGAAAUAGUUGGUGGUGAAAUCCCAGAGCUUAACUCUGGAACUGCCAUCAAAACUUUUCAGCUAGAGUAUGAUAGAGGAAGCAGAAUUUCUAGUGUAGAGGUGAAAUUCGUAGAUAUUAGAAAGAAUACCAAUUGCGAAAGCAGCUUUCUGGAUCAUUACUGACACUGAGGAACGAAAGCAUGGGUAGCGAAGAGGAUUAGAUACCCUCGUAGUCCAUGCCGUAAACGAUGUGUGUUAGA